rnacentral:rRNA from 1 species
GUUAAGUCAGGCAACGAGCGAGACCCACGCCAACAGUUGCCAGCAUGUCCUCCGGGAUGAUGGGGACACUGUUGGGACCGCCUCUGCUAAAGAGGAGGAAGGAAUGGGCAACGGUAGGUCAGCAUGCCCCGAAUUAUCCGGGCUACACGCGGGCUACAAUGGUCAGGACAAUGGGUAUCGACACCGAGAGGUGGAGGCAAUCUCCUAAACCUGUCCUUAGUUCGGAUUGUGGGCUGCAACUCGCCCACAUGAAGCUGGAAUCUGUAGUAAUCGCGUCUCAAAUGGCGCGGUGAAUAUGUCCCUGCUCCUU